rnacentral:rRNA from 1 species
AUUGAACGCUGGCGGCAUGCCUUACACAUGCAAGUCGAACGGUAACAGGUCCUCGGAUGCUGACGAGUGGCGAACGGGUGAGUAAUACAUCGGAACGUGCCCGAUCGUGGGGGAUAACGAAGCGAAAGCUUUGCUAAUACCGCAUACGAUCUACGGAUGAAAGCAGGGGACCGCAAGGCCUUGCGCGAACGGAGCGGCCGAUGGCAGAUUAGGUAGUUGGUGGGAUAAAAGCUUACCAAGCCGACGAUCUGUAGCUGGUCUGAGAGGACGACCAGCCACACUGGGACUGAGACACGGCCCAGACUCCUACGGGAGGCAGCAGUGGGGAAUUUUGGACAAUGGGCGAAAGCCUGAUCCAGCCAUGCCGCGUGCAGGAUGAAGGCCUUCGGGUUGUAAACUGCUUUUGUACGGAACGAAAAGACUCUGGUUAAUACCUGGGGUCCAUGACGGUACCGUAAGAAUAAGCACCGGCUAACUACGUGCCAGCAGCCGCAGUACUAC